rnacentral:rRNA from 1 species
AGCGUAGACGGCUGUGCAAGUCUGAAGUGAAAGGCAUGGGCUCAACCUGUGGACUGCUUUGGAAACUGUGCAGCUAGAGUGUCGGAGAGGUAAGUGGAAUUCCUAGUGUAGCGGUGAAAUGCGUAGAUAUUAGGAGGAACACCAGUGGCGAAAGCGGCUCUCUGGUCUGUAACUGACGCUGAGGCUCGAAAGCGUGGGGAGCAAACA